rnacentral:misc_RNA from 1 species
GAUGAAGAACGUAGUGAAAUGCGAUACGUAGUGUGAAUUGCAGAAUUCAGUGAAUCAUCGAAUCUUUGAACGCACAUUGCACCUCUCGGUAUUCCGGGAGGUAUGCCUGUUCGAGCGUCAUUUGUACACUCAAGCUCUGCUUGGUGUUGGGUGUUUGUUCCGCCUCUGUGUGUGAACUCGCCUCAAAACAAUUGGCAGCCGGCGUACUUGUUUCGGAGCGCAGCACAUUUUGCGAUCCAGAUCAACGUACAGCGGCAUCCAAGAAGCCUUAUUUAACGCUCUUGACCUCGGAUCAGGUAGGGAUACCCGCUGAACUUAAGCAUAUCAAUAAGCGGAGGA